rnacentral:misc_RNA from 1 species
GAAUAGAUUUUUAUGUGGGUGUCAACGGAGAUCCGAAGAAAUAGUCCGAAACUCGGCCAUACCCGUUGCACAGUUCGAGAUCUUGUCGGUUUUAAUCCACGAUCUUUACGUCACUGAUUCCCUCGCUAGAAUUAAUACUGCCUCUCAUUCCUAGGAGAUCCGAUCCCGGCUCUGUUGAUCGAGAUGGCGAAGAAGGCGGUGAUCUGUGC